GCCCAGGUGGCGGAACGGCAGACGCGCUAGGUUCAGGACCUAGUGAGGGCAACCUCAUCAGGGUUCAAAUCCCUGCCUGGGCACCA
rnacentral:tRNA from 1 species